rnacentral:rRNA from 1 species
GACGAACGCUGGCGGCGUGCCUAAUACAUGCAAGUUGAGCGCUGAAGGUUGGUACUUGUACCAACUGGAUGAGCAGCGAACGGGUGAGUAACGCAUGGGGAAUCUGCCUUUGAGCGGGGGACAACAUUUGGAAACGAAUGCUAAUACCGCAUAAAAACUUUAAACACAAGUUUUAAGUUUGAAAGAUGCAAUUGCAUCACUCAAAGAUGAUCCCGCGUUGUAUUAGCUAGUUGGUGAGGUAAAGGCUCACCAAGGCGAUGAUACAUAGCCGACCUGAGAGGGUGAUCGGCCACAUUGGGACUGAGACACGGCCCAAACUCCUACGGGAGGCAGCAGUAGGGAAUCUUCGGCAAUGGACGAAAGUCUGACCGAGCAACGCCGCGUGAGGGAAGAAGGGUUUCGGAUCGGAAAACUCUGUUGGUAGAGAAGAACGUUGGUGAGAGUGGAAAGCUCAUCAAGUGACGGUAACUACCCAGAAAGGGACGGCUAACUACGUG